rnacentral:rRNA from 1 species
GACGAACGCUGGCGGCGUGCUUAACACAUGCAAGUCGAACGAAGAGCGAUGGAAGCUUGCUUCUAUCAAUCUUAGUGGCGAACGGGUGAGUAACGCGUAAUCAACCUGCCCUUCAGAGGGGGACAACAGUUGGAAACGACUGCUAAUACCGCAUACGAUCUAAUCUCGGCAUCGAGGAUAGAUGAAAGGUGGCCUCUACAUGUAAGCUAUCACUGAAGGAGGGGAUUGCGUCUGAUUAGCUAGUUGGAGGGGUAACGGCCCACCAAGGCGAUGAUCAGUAGCCGGUCUGAGAGGAUGAACGGCCACAUUGGGACUGAGACACGGCCCAGACUCCUACGGGAGGCAGCAGUGGGGAAUCUUCCGCAAUGGACGAAAGCCUGACGGAGCAACGCCGCGUGAGUGAUGACGGCCUUCGGGUUGUAAAGCUCUGUUAAUCGGGACGAAAGGCCUUCUUGCGAAUAGUGAGAAGGAUUGACGGUACCGGAAGAGAAAGCCACGGCUAACUACGUG